rnacentral:rRNA from 1 species
UACGGAGGGAGCUAGCGUUGUUCGGAAUUACUGGGCGUAAAGCGCACGUAGGCGGCUUAUUAAGUCAGGGGUGAAAUCCCGGGGCUCAACCCCGGAACUGCCUCUGAAACUGGUAAGCUAGAAUCUUGGAGAGGUCAGUGGAAUUCCGAGUGUAGAGGUGAAAUUCGUAGAUAUUCGGAAGAACACCAGUGGCGAAGGCGACUGACUGGACAAGUAUUGACGCUGAGGUGCGAAAGCGUGGGGAGCAAACAGG